AGAGUUUGAUCCUGGCUCAGGAUGAACGCUAGCGGGAGGCUUAACACAUGCAAGUCGAGCGGGAUUGGUAGCAAUACCAUGAGAGCGGCGCACGGGUGCGUAACGCGUAUGCAACCUGCCUUAUACAAAGGGAUAGCCCAUGGAAACGUGGAUUAAUAUCUUAUAGGACUUAAUAAUCGCAUGGUUUUUAAGUUAAAACUACGGUGGUAUAAGAUGGGCAUGCGUCUGAUUAGGUAGUUGGUAGGGUAACGGCCUACCAAGCCGACGAUCAGUAGGGGUUCUGAGAGGAUUACCCCCCACACUGGUACUGAGACACGGACCAGACUCCUACGGGAGGCAGCAGUGGGGAAUAUUGCGCAAUGGGCGAAAGCCUGACGCAGCAACGCCGCGUGGGGGAUGAAGGUUCUCGGAUUGUAAACCCCUUUCGAUCGGAACGAAUCCCCUCCUGGUAAAUAAUCAGGAGGAUCGACGGUACCGGGAGAAGAAGCCACGGCUAACUCUGUGCCAGCAGCCGCGGUAAGACAGAGGUGGCGAGCGUUGUUCGGAUUUAUUGGGCGUAGAGCGAACGCAGGUGGUUUGGUAAGUCAGGGGUGAAAGCCCACAGCUUAACUGUGGCACUGCCUUUGAUACUGCCUUUCUAGAGUGCAUGAGGGGGAAGCGGAAUUCCGAGUGUAGAGGUGAAAUUCGUAGAUAUUCGGAGGAACACCGGUGGCGAAGGCGGCUUCCUGGCAUGUAACUGACACUCAUGUUCGAAAGCGUGGGUAGCAAACAGGAUUAGAUACCCUGGUAGUCC
rnacentral:rRNA from 1 species